AUUGAACGCUGGCGGCAUGCCUUACACAUGCAAGUCGAACGGCAGCACGGGUGCUUGCCCCUGGUGGCGAGUGGCGAACGGGUGAGUAAUACAUCGGAACAUGUCCUGUAGUGGGGGAUAGCCCGGCGAAAGCCGGAUUAAUACCGCAUACGAUCUACGGAUGAAAGCGGGGGACCGUCGGGCCUCGCGCUAUAGGGUUGGCCGAUGGCUGAUUAGCUAGUUGGUGGGGUAAAGGCCUACCAAGGCGACGAUCAGUAGCUGGUCUGAGAGGACGACCAGCCACACUGGGACUGAGACACGGCCCAGACUCCUACGGGAGGCAGCAGUGGGGAAUUUUGGACAAUGGGCGAAAGCCUGAUCCAGCAAUGCCGCGUGUGUGAAGAAGGCCUUCGGGUUGUAAAGCACUUUUGUCCGGAAAGAAAUCCUUGGCCCUAAUACGGUCGGGGGAUGACGGUACCGGAAGAAUAAGCACCGGCUAACUACGUG
rnacentral:rRNA from 1 species